rnacentral:rRNA from 1 species
AGAUUGAACGCUGGCGGCAGGCCUAACACAUGCAAGUCGAGCGGAAACGAGUUAUCUGAACCUUCGGGGRACGAUAACGGCGUCGAGCGGCGGACGGGUGAGUAAUGCCUAGGAAAUUGCCCUGAUGUGGGGGAUAACCAUUGGAAACGAUGGCUAAUACCGCAUAAUGCCUACGGGCCAAAGAGGGGGACCUUCGGGCCUCUCGCGUCAGGAUAUGCCUAGGUGGGAUUAGCUAGUUGGUGAGGUAAUGGCUCACCAAGGCGACGAUCCCUAGCUGGUCUGAGAGGAUGAUCAGCCACACUGGAACUGAGACACGGUCCAGACUCCUACGGGAGGCAGCAGUGGGGAAUAUUGCACAAUGGGCGCAAGCCUGAUGCAGCCAUGCCGCGUGUGUGAAGAAGGCCUUCGGGUUGUAAAGCACUUUCAGUCGUGAGGAAGGUAGUGUAGUUAAUAGCUGCAUUACUUGACGUUAGCGACAGAAGAAGCACCGGCUAACUCCGUGCCAGCAGCCGCGGUAAUACGGAGGGUGCGAGCGUUAAUCGGAAUUACUGGGCGUAAAGCGCAUGCAGGUGGUUUGUUAAGUCAGAUGUGAAAGCCCGGGGCUCAACCUCGGAAUAGCAUUUGAAACUGGCAGACUAGAGUACUGUAGAGGGGGGUAGAAUUUCAGGUGUAGCGGUGAAAUGCGUAGAGAUCUGAAGGAAUACCGGUGGCGAAGGCGGCCCCCUGGACAGAUACUGACACUCAGAUGCGAAAGCGUGGGGAGCAAACAGGAUUAGAUACCCUGGUAGUCCACGCCGUAAACGAUGUCUACUUGGAGGUUGUGGCCUUGAGCCGUGGCUUUCGGAGCUAACGCGUUAAGUAGACCGCCUGGGGAGUACGGUCGCAAGAUUAAAACUCAAAUGAAUUGACGGGGGCCCGCACAAGCGGUGGAGCAUGUGGUUUAAUUCGAUGCAACGCGAAGAACCUUACCUACUCUUGACAUCCAGAGAACUUUCCAGAGAUGGAUUGGUGCCUUCGGGAACUCUGAGA